rnacentral:rRNA from 1 species
UACGUAGGGGGCUAGCGUUGUCCGGAAUCAUUGGGCGUAAAGCGCGCGUAGGCGGCGCAACAAGUCACUUGUGAAAUCUCCGGGCUUAACCCGGAGCGGCCAAGUGAUACUGUCGUGCUAGAGUACGGAAGGGGCUACUGGAAUUCUCGGUGUAGCGGUGAAAUGCGUAGAUAUCGAGAGGAACACCUGCGGCGAAGGCGGGUAGCUGGGCCGACACUGACGCUGAUGCGCGAAAGCCAGGGGAGCGAACGGG